ensembl:lncRNA
GGGGGAGGUGGGGAGAAAGGAGAGAGGUAGGGUGUUCAACAAGGGGAAGAGGGGGAAGGUGAGGAGAAAGGAGAGAGGUAGGGUGUUCAACAAGGGGAGGUGGGGAGAAAGGAGAGAGGUAGGGUGCUCAACAAGGGGAGGAGGGGGAGGUGUGGAGAAAGGAGAGAGGUAGGGUGUUCAACAAGGGGAGGAGGGGGAGGUGGGGAGAAAGGAGAGAGGUAGGGUGUUCAACAAGGGGAAGAGGGGGAGGUGAGGAGAAAGGAGAGAGGUAGGGUGUUCAACAAGGGGAGGUGGGGAGAAAGGAGAGAGGUAGGGUGCUCAACAAGGGGAGGAGGGGG